UUCCGCUUUGUGAAAUGGUGUAAACGAAAGGCGACCACGCAGGUUCGAGUUGUAGAUGGAGCCGGCACAUUGCCCGAAGUAGCUGCUGAGGUAACAUGAAAUGGCAUUAGGCUUUUUUCUUUUAUUUUUUUCUACACAAAGAAACCUAGGAUGUGGUAUUUUACACAGUUGCACAAGAACCCGCUAGGUGUGGGUUGGCAUCCUGAACUUUUAUAGUUGCACAAGAAUGAAUUAGGAGUUGGUAUCCUCAACUUUUCAAAUAGUUGCACCACAAUAUCGUACGAGUUGGCACCCUAGACUUUCAUAGAUGCACCGGAACCAUUUGGGAGUUGGCAGUCUCAACUUUUUAAAUAGUCCCACAACAAUAUCACAUGAGUUGGCAUCCACAACAAUUUUAGUUGCACUAGAACCAAUCGGUAGUUGGCAUCCCCAACCUUUUUUAAUAGUUGCACGACAAUGACACAUGAGUUGGCAUCUUCAACUUCUUUAGUUGCACAAGAACCAUUUUGUAGUUGGCAUCCUCAUGUGUUCACAUGAAUAUGAUUUUCUAGGUUUCCAGAUGCACUUGAAUGUAGUUGCACUACUUAUUUGGUAGAUUAUAAUCUUUUAAAAUUCAUGUUCAUCAGUUCAAAAUUCAUGUUCAUCAGUUCAAAAUUCAUUGCAUAGUUGUAGAAACCUGCAACAUGAAUUGCAUCCAGGAGUACUUACAAUUGCGCAAAAUAGAUGAUGAAGUUGUACAAUAACCAGCAUAAAGUGUUUUUGGAAUUAUGCAUACAGAAGUUUAGCUAAAACCAAAAUGAAUAUGAAAUUAUAUGAGUUGGCAUCUUCUACUUCUAUAUGAGUUGAAGAUGCCAACUACUGAAAUCCAAACACCACAAGUAGAUGUAUAUGGGAGUGUUGUCAAUUUGCACACUUGUACUUUAAGUUGCACAAACACAAGCGAGAGUUGGUUCAUUUCUUCUCAGGCUUCUUUUUUGUAUCAUAUGCAGGUUUUACAGGGUAUGGGGGUGGAUGAUCUGCUGUAGAUUUUUUCUCACAAUUCUAAGCUAUAAAAUCAUGUAUACUAGUGUGUGGAAAGAUCAAAGGAAAAAACACAUGCAAACCAGAUUCUUGUCUAGUUGGUGGCUAUGUUUUCAUAGUACCUACAAUAUACUUUUCUUUUCUUUUUUGCUACAUUUACAUUGGUUCUUCUGAAUUAUGUGUGAACUAAGACUCUCUAUGUCCUCUCUCCUAUAUGUUGGCACAUUUUCUGUGUUUUGUUGCACACAUUGUUGUAAAAGUUGGCUAGUCCCAUGAUGAAGUUGCAUGAAAAUCAGUUGCACAUGUACCAGAUCUCCCUAUUUUUUUAUCUCUGUUUAUGCACUCUUCAACUAUGAAGAAGUUAUUUUUGCAAGGAGAAAUUUGGUGAG
rnacentral:lncRNA from 1 species